rnacentral:rRNA from 1 species
AUUGAACGCUGGCGGUAUGCCUUACACAUGCAAGUCGAACGGAAGAGGGGCAACCCUUGAGAGUGGCGAACGGGUGAGUAAUAUAUCGGAACGUGCCCAGUCGUGGGGGAUAACGUAGCGAAAGCUACGCUAAUACCGCAUACGACCUGAGGGUGAAAGCGGGGGAUCGCAAGACCUCGCGCGAUUGGAGCGGCCGAUGGCAGAUUAGGUAGUUGGGGGGGUAAAGGCCUACCAAGCCUGCGAUCUGUAGCUGGUCUGAGAGGUCGACCAGCCACACUGGGACUGAGACACGGCCCAGACUCCUACGGGAGGCAGCAGUGGGGAAUUUUGGACAAUGGGCGAAAGCCUGAUCCAGCCAUACCGCGUGCGGGAAGAAGGCCUUCGGGUUGUAAACCGCUUUUGUCAGGGAAGAAAUCUUCUGGGUUAAUACCUCGGGUGGAUGACGGUACCUGAAGAAUAAGCACCGGCUAACUACGUGCCAGCAGCCGCGGUAA